CUGAAGAUAAUAGGAUUUUGAGACUGCGUUCAUUUGGCGUGUGCUCGAUCCUUACUCUUUCAUCCACACACACCUUUGUGCACUAUGGGGACGUCAAGUCCCCCUUUUUUUCAUACCAAACACCGAGUUUACAUGCAUGUUUGUAAUUUUGGAUUUAAUA
rnacentral:misc_RNA from 1 species